ensembl:lncRNA
GCCUGCAUCAGCCCCAAUUUGAGCUCGAGUUAGAUUACCAAGGAAUGUAAGCGCAUCUUCGUUUGGCAUAUUUGGCAGGUUCAGAAAAAAAAACAGCUUACAAAAAAGAAACACACGACUACUUCACUGAACUCAAUUUUAAAAGCCUCCUUAUUACUUGGCUGGUCAACCAUUCAAACGAUGUGGUUGUUAUAAGGCCUAUUUUUUUUAAAUAAUUUAAUUACGUACACAACGAGCAACAAUAGUAUUUGUGACAACAUCUUUGGAAGACUGCAUAUUCUGCGAAGGAGAAAAAUCUAUUUUAUUAUCACGUCCGGCCCCGUGUCGUCGGCUUUCGUGCACUUUCAUAGGUCGGUGAGAGCAAGACGGCGGAGGGGAGCAGCAAGUUAACGAGUGCGCCUGCGAGACUGCGCUACGACGCGGGGGGGAGAGAGGUCCAGCUGCAAAAAAAGACAUGCUGUAACAAUGGCAGCAUCAAGCACCUCGUAGAUGGCAGCGAACACCGGGGGAGAGACGUGAAAAAGGAGUGGAAUAGCAGAUGCCAUGAGUUCGCUUUGACGCUUGGAAAAGCCAUUGCUCCCGGGCGUUUUAUUGGAACAGGAAUUUGUGUUGUAAUGAAAAAUGGAGCGUCGGAGCGAAGAGAAGCGCGCUGCUGUCUCCAUCGCUGAUGGAAGAGGCGCGUCCACCUGCUAACACCGGAGGCCCGGGCUCGGGGUGAACCAUGGGGAAGUGCCUGCACUGAGUAGGAGAAAUAGACACGCUUAUACCGUUAUAACAGGCGAAGGACGUUUUUUUUUUCCUGGACAGGGGCACAAGACAUCGCUGUUUGGCUGCAUUUACAUGUGAAGGGCUGGCAGUCUGACCGAGAGACAGAGAGCACCAAUCGCCUGUUUGAGAAGCUUAGGAUUUUGGCCGAGCUGUCCAUUUGCAGACCUGCAUUGCAUAUGUAUGUAUGUGUGUGUGUGUGUACAUACAGCCAC